GCUCCUACCGAUUGAGUGAUCCGGUGAAUAAUUCGGACUGCAGCAGUGUUCAGUUCUUGAACAUUGCAGUGGAAAGUUUAAUGAGCCUUAUCACUUAGAGGAAGGAGAAGUCGUAACAAGGUUUCUGU
rnacentral:rRNA from 1 species